UCAAACGAGAGUUUGAUCCUGGCUCAGAGCGAACGCUGGCGGCGUGCUUAACACAUGCAAGUCGAGUGCGCGGUGCGGGUAGCAAUACUCGUACUGGCGCACGGCGCACGGGUGCGUAACACUUGGGCAACCUGCCCUUCGGUGGGGAAUAACCCCGCGAAAGCGGGGCUAAUUCCGCAUAACAUUCCGUGGACCUCGGUCCGCGGACUCAAAGCCGCAAGGCGCCGGAGGAGGGGCCCGAGCCCGAUUAGCUUGUUGGCGAGGUAACGGCUCACCAAGGCAAUGAUCGGUAGCCGGUCUGAGAGGAUGGCCGGCCACACUGGAACUGAGACACGGUCCAGACUCCUAC
rfam:Acidobacteria bacterium 13_1_20CM_2_60_10 13_1_20cm_2_scaffold_7196, whole genome shotgun sequence.